UACGGAGGAUGCAAGCGUUAUCCGGAAUGAUUGGGCGUAAAGAGUCCGUAGGUGGUGAUUCAAGUCGAUUGUUAAAGAGCGAGGCUUAACCUCGUAACAGCAGUGGAAACUGAAUCGCUAGAGAGAGGUAGGGGUAGAGGGAAUUCCCGGUGUAGCGGUGAAAUGCGUAGAGAUCGGGAAGAACACCAGUGGCGAAGGCGC
rnacentral:rRNA from 1 species